GACCAUUUGAUCCGCCCAUGGAUGACAUACCAAGGAAGAUAGUCGGUUGAGCAAGAAGCUAGCUGCUUAUGAUUUUGUAUGAUCAAGCAUGCACAUGUAAAAAAGAUAGUUUGUGCCUUUAAUUAUUACGCAAUUUAACUUGAGCAUCAUAUAGAAAUUUUUCAGUUCCACCCUUGAGUUAGAAAGAAGAUGAAUUGGUCAAUACAAUUGCUUCUGCACUUGAAGCUUCUUAUGAAAUAUGGCCUUUUUAUAGUUUUCUGCCAUUAUGGAGCUUUCUUUUAGCCAUGCAUCUCUGAAUUUAUAGAACAAAGCAUCCAGCAAAAGAAAAAACCUGACACAUCAACAAGGAGACAAAUGGAACUUAAAAAACAAUAUGACAAACCAACACACGAUGCUUGCCUCUUUAAAGCAUGCAUCCAUUUCUUUGGUUGGUGCAUUAGAGUGACUGCAAAACUAUCUGCUAAUACUAGAUUGAUUGGACAAGGCUUCUUCUUAGCAAAUAUGGAAGCUUAUGCUUACGCCUUCUUGACAAGUAUAUGAUUUAUUAACCACACUAACACUAUUACUAUAGACACAAUAGCUGAAAUAAGAAAAUUCUAUGCCGAAAAAAUAAAAUGCACCCCAAUCCUCUAUGUAUAUUCAAACAUUUGUCAAGAGAUACCAAAAUGGCCACUUCUCCAAAUCCUCAGUGCUCAUAAAACCAUGUAUGAUUCAAUACUU
rnacentral:lncRNA from 1 species